rnacentral:rRNA from 1 species
CCAUUAGAUGUUAUGGGCAGCACGCGCGCUACAAUGGUCUUCGCAAACGGAUGCAUUCUCGAAGGAGAAUGCCAAUCUUGGAAUCUAUGCCUUGGUCGGGACAGUUGCUUGCAAUUUUUCGACUCGAACCAGGAAUUCCUUGUAAUCGUGAUUCAUCACAUCACGAUGAAUACGUCCCUGCCCUUUGUACACACCGCCCGUCGCUCCUACCGAUCGAAGAGUUAGGUGAAUUGUUUUGAUCGAUAAGAUUUGACUAUGGUCAACUCUCGUUGUGAAAUUCUGUGAAUCUGACUGUUUAGAGGAAGGAAAAGUCGUAACA